rnacentral:rRNA from 1 species
CCUACGGGUGGCAGCAGUGGGGAAUAUUGCACAAUGGAGGAAACUCUGAUGCAGCAACGCCGCGUGAGUGAUGACGGCCUUCGGGUUGUAAAGCUCUGUCUUCAGGGACGAUAAUGACGGCACCUGCGGAGGAAUCCACGGCUACCUACGUGCCAGCAGCCGCGGUAAUACGUAGGUGGAGAGCGUUGUCCGGAUUGACUGGGCGUAAAGGGAGCGUAGGCGGGCUUUUAAGUGAGAUGUGAAAUACUCGGGCUCAACUUGGGUGCUGCAUUUGAAACUGGAAGUCUAGAGUGCAGGAGGGGAGAAUGGAAUUCCUGGUGUAGCGGUGAAAUGCGUAGAGAUUAGGAAGAACACCAGUGGCGAAGGCGAUUGUCUGGACUGUAACUGACGCUGAGGCUCGAAAGCGUGGGGAGCAAACAGGAUUAGAUACCCUGGUAGUC